rnacentral:tRNA from 1 species
GGCGCGGUAGCUCAGGCGGUUAGAGCGACGGACUCAUAACCCGUAGGUCGGUGGUUCGAGCCCACCUCGCGCCACCA